rnacentral:rRNA from 1 species
CCUACGGGUGACUGCAGUGAGGAAUAUUGGUCAAUGGACGAGAGCCUGAACCAGCCAAGUAGCGUGAAGGAUGACUGCCCGAUGGGUGGUAAACUUCUUUUAUAUGGGAAUAAAACAGGGUAUGCAUACCCGCUUGUUUGUACCAUAUGAAUAAGGAUCGGCUAACUCCGUGCCAGCAGCCGCGGUAAUACGGAGGAUCCGAGCGUUUUCCGGAUUUAUUGGGUUUAAAGGGAGCGUAGGUGGAUUGUUAAGUCAGUUGUGAAAGUUUGCGGCUCAACCGUAAAAUUGCAGUUGAAACUGGCAGUCUUGAGUACAGUAGAGGUGGGCGGAAUUCGUGGUGUAGCGGUGAAAUGCUUAGAUAUCACGAAGAACUCCGAUUGCGAAGGCAGCUCACUGGACUGCAACUGACACUGAUGCUCGAAAGUGUGGGUAUCGAACAGGAUUAGAUACCCGAGUAGUC